rnacentral:rRNA from 1 species
UACGGGGGGGGCAAGCGUUGUUCGGAAUUACUGGGCGUAAAGGGCUCGUAGGCGGCCAACUAAGUCAGACGUGAAAUCCCCAGGCUCAACCUGGGAACUGCGUCUGAUACUGGAUGGCUUGAAUCCGGGAGAGGGAUGCAGAAUUCCAGGUGUAGCGGUGAAAUGCGUAGAUAUCUGGAGGAAUACCGGUGGCGAAGGCGGCAUCCUGGACCGGCAUUGACGCUGAGGCGCGAAAGCCAGGGGAGCAAAGCGGG